AAGGCAUUUGUUAUUGGUCCAUGAAAAUUAUGUUUUUUAUGUGACAUCCUUGCAUAAAUGUGUCACGGAGGUCACAUUAUCUUAAGUGUGUUCUCUUCAGUGGCUCAUUGUUGCCUUCUGGGUGGGUAACACAGUGUUUACAUUUUAUUUUAGAACAUUAGCAGUGUUGUGGCUGCGUUUUCCGAUCUUCUUCACGUUCGAAUUCCUAACAGCUAUGAGGUUAGUAAUGCUCCAGAUGUUCCAUCCAUGGGUUUGGUCAGUAGCCACAGAGUAAACCCAGGUUUGGAGUAUCGACAGCAUUUGCUUCUUCGUGGGCCUCCACCAGGAUCUGCACAUCCUCCCAGAUUAGCGAGCUCUUACCGGCUGAAGCAGCCUAACAUACCAUUUCCUCCAGCAAGCAAUGGACUUUCGGGAUAUAAGGACUGCAGUCGUGGCAUUGCCGAAAGUGCAGCGCUCCGUCCACAGUGGUGUUGUCACUGCAAAGUGGUUAUUCUUGGAAGUGGUGUGCGGAAGUCUUUUAAAGAUCUGGCCUUUGUGAACAAGGAUUCCCGAGAAAACACCAGGUGGCUAGAAAAGGAUAUUGUCUUCUGUAGUAAUAACUGCUUCGUUCUUUAUUCGUCUACUGCACAAGGAAAACCAGAAAACAAGGUGGGUGGUGGGUGAUCUCUGACAUGUCCCCGCCUCAUGGGCUCCUAUAUGGGAAAUCCUGAACGGGUGCUAAUCAAGUUGGUAGACAGGCCCUAAAUGUUCUUCCUGAUUAAAUAAGCUAUUUGACAAAAGUGGACAGGUGCAAAUUAAAUUUUAUUAAAUACUUUUUUUUUUUUUCUUUUUAAUUUAGUAGUACUGACAGUUGACUUUAGGGCUUAGUACAUGUUACCUCACUGCUUUACCACUAAGCUAUAUCCCAGGCCUUCUUUUAAUUUUUGUUUUUGCGAUAGGUCUCACUAAACUGCCCGGGCAGGCCCUGAACUUGUAGUCCUCCCGCCUCAGCCUCUUGAGUGGCUGGGACUUUUUCUUUCAUUAUUUUUUUUCCUCUUUUCCACCCCUCCCCCCAUUGUGUAUCUGUCUAUCUUGGUUUUUUGAGACAGUCUUGCUGUGUAGUCCAGGGUGACCUCCAACUCAUGGUGACCCUUCUGUCUGUCAUUAGUCACCAAAGUACUGGGAUUACAAGUUUGUACCAUCACACCCAGACUAAUUACAUUUUAAAAAUCUAGAAUUAAGUAGAAUAGUGGUACCAGAAUCUUGCAUUUUACUAAUUACAAAUAUCUUAAUAAACAUUAAAAAUUUUGCUUUUUGGGGGGGGUGGCUGGAGAGGUGGCUCAGCAGAUAAGAACACUGAUUGUUCUUACAGAAGACAAAUCCCAGCACCUACAUGGCAGCUAACAACUGUCUAUAACUCCAGUUCCAGGGGAUUCAACAGUCUCUUUUGUCCACCGCAGGCACUGCACAACACGGGUGCACUUACCUACAUGCAGGCAAUACACACAUACACAUAAAAAAAAAUAAAGAAAUAAAAUAUUGUUAAAAUUUGUUUGCUUUUUGUUGAUCAAUAGGAAAGCGUUAUCAAAAAGAGAAUUAAGUCAGUUCCUGCAUUGUGAGAGAAAGCAUUUUGCUCAUACCCAGCUGCUUUUUUGAUUUUGUACAGAUUAAGCAUGUCUAACUAUGCAGUUGAUACAAAUGGUAUGUUUUUAGUUGUCUUGUUUUUGGUUUUUUUGAGACAGGGUCUUCCUGUACCCCAGCUGGCUUCGCACUCGCCAUAUAGACCAGGCUAGCCUCAUUCUUACAAAGAUAACCUACCUCUGUCUUCUGAGUCCUGGGACUAAAGGCAAGUGUCACCACGCCUGACCAAAUGAUCAGUUUUUAAUCGUGUGCUUUGAAGGAGAAAUUUUCAUAUAAAAUAAUACUGUUAGUUACUACUACCUCAAGAUAAUUGCUUUAAUAUGACUUUCACAGAGCA
rnacentral:lncRNA from 1 species